UCCUUCCUGGUGUAGUGGUUAAUGCCUUUGAUUCUGCUGGCGAAAAGUCAAGAGGUCUGGUGUUCGAAUCCCUUGGGUGGAU